CAAAGAGUAGUUUAAGUUAAAAUACUGGCUUUGGGGGCUAGAGACGGGUGUUCCCUCUUUGA
rnacentral:tRNA from 1 species